GAUGAAGAACGUAGCGAAAUGCGAUAAGUAAUGUGAAUUGCAGAAUUCAGUGAAUCAUCGAAUCUUUGAACGCACAUUGCGCCCGUCAGUAUUCUGGCGGGCAUGCCUGUUCGAGCGUCAUUACGCCCCUCAAGUCCCCUGUGGACUUGGUGUUGGGGAUCGGCGAGGCUGGUUUUCCAGCACAGCCGUCCCUUAAAUUAAUUGGCGGUCUCGCCGUGGCCCUCCUCUGCGCAGUAGUAAAACACUCGCAACAGGAGCCCGGCGCGGUCCACUGCCGUAAAACCCCCCAACUUUUUACAGUUGACCUCGAAUCAGGUAGGACUACCCGCUGAACUUAAGCAUAUCAAUAAGCGGAGGA
rnacentral:misc_RNA from 1 species